CAUUAAACAACAGUCAAGUCAACUACUAUGUAGUUCCUCCACUUCAAGGCACCGUUAACAUAAUGUGUGGGUGCGCUGCGUGUUCAGGAACCUUGUAUGAAUCGAAGAUCGCCUCGAAGAUCGCAGAAGAGUCCGUUGAAAUGAUAUGGGAGCAGCUUUUAUCGUUCCUAAUUUCCUUGGACACUAAGGCUGACAGACUUGGAGAAUGGAAAGAACAGAAACCCCUGUUAGAAAACCUCUUUUAUCGCUUUUUUAAACUUGGUCUGAAAUUGAUAGAAUUGGGGGAUUGCGUUAAGAACUACCCCAGCAAUGUAGAUGCUACCAUAACAUCUUUGAUUAGAAACAGACGUUGGAUUCAGCGGCAUCUUUAUCUCUUCACCUCAUUAGAUUACGAUCGUCGAAUGGCUACAACAUUCCAUUAUAUCUGCAGAUUUCGAUCCGGAAUUCAGUUUCUUGUGGACGAUUUUUCGGAUAUUUCUUUUAGAUUUGAUCAAAUUCUAAAAAAUUUCAAAUGUGGCGAUUUUCUUAAUGAACAUAAUGAUUUAGAAGAUCUUGAUAGUGAUUUGCAUUUGUUGAAACCUUUAGAUCCUUAUUUACAUCCUGAUCCUUUUGAAACUCCCUCAAGUAUCCCCAAACAUCAUUGGUGGUGGUUUUGACGAAUCAAAAUGGGUGUGAUGCAACUUUUGUGUUGGUUUAUAAAUAAAUACAGCUCAAAAAUUAUUUGAAAAAAUUUAACA